rnacentral:tRNA from 1 species
AAGACACUAGUAAAAUUAUUACCUUGCCUUGUCAAGGCAAAAUUGUGGGUUAGACCCCCGCGUGUCUUA